GGGACCCGGGGACCCCCGGACCCCCGGGACCUCGAGCCGCGGCGCCCACCCGGCAGGACCUGGCGCCCCGCUCGGGAGGAGCGGCCCUCGCACCCGGGGCUCCCGAGCGCAGGAGGAGGGCGCGGGGCGGGCGUGAGGUCCGGGCCGCACAGACUCCCCGAGGGAUGCUCGUCCGACGAGGAGCCCGCGGGGCGAGGGACGCGGUCGGGGCGCGGUCUGGGCGCGGGGUCCGGGCGCGCAGCCUGGGCCCCGGAGGACGGAGGCCGCGGCACACGGACCCUGGGCGCUCGGGGCGGCCGGGCCCAGGGGAUGCGGGGGCAGGUGCCCGCCGGGAGCCGCUCCCGGGCCCCGCGACCGCGCCACGGCCACCAGGCAGAAGGGGCGCGCAGUGAGUGGAGAUUACAUGAACCAGAAGCGAAGUUUGAGCAUAAUUUCCUUAACCACUGGGAAAUCUGUACCGCCUGCCAAAACUUCCAGUGAUGGGGAGAAGAAAGGAAGAGAAGAUGAUUAAAUAUUCAUGGAGUACCCACUACGUGCACGCACCCUGUGGGCGCUAGCUUUACCCAUUAUAUUCCAUAUUAGUCAUUGUUUAUAAAAUAAGAGCUCUUUUUUAAAAAAAACAUGGAUACCUCCUUCUUCUGCAUCCGGACCUCAAAUGGAUAGCUUCUACAAUUAUAUUUUAUUCGCGAGAAUUUCGUUUUUAUUACUUCCUUCUUCGAAGUGACAUAAUUGCUAAGGCUAAUGGAGAGAUCCAAGUGUAAUGAUAUUAAAGUCUGUUUUGUUUAACCGAUUACAUCGUUCAGUGUUCAUCCUGGCUGGGGUGAAAAAAAAAGUGGAAGGUGAGUCAGCAAACGCUGAAUUUCUGCUAACUCUUUAGGUCUCUGUAAAAAUGAAGAAAGAGAAAUCCUGAACUGUUUGGGAGAAGAGGGAAGUUGUAGCUGGAAGGAGGGCACUGGCACUGGCACUGGCACUGAGCGCGUUGUGCCCUCCUCCCCACCCCACCCCCCCAAAAAAAAAGAAAGAAGAAAGGAAAGAAAAGAACACGCAAAACAAAACUUUCCCGUCGCUGUGGAUCAAAGGAACCGAAAACAUGACCCACUUUGCGAGGGUUGUGCAAACACCGUGGCUUAUAUUGACCAUUGAUAUAGGCUGAGUGAGGCCACGCCUCUACUCGUGUCUCCGUGGAGGCCUGUGGAACUGAGGGUACCGGCAGNNNNNNNNNNAGACAC
rnacentral:lncRNA from 12 species